rnacentral:rRNA from 1 species
CAAGUCGAACGGGGAAAGUGGAGCAAUCCAUGAGUACAGUGGCGUACGGGUGAGUAACACGUGGGUAAUCUACCUCUUAGUGGGGAAUAACCCUGGGAAACCGGGGCUAAUACCGCAUAAGCCUGAGAAGGGAAAGCAGCAAUGCGCUGAGAGAGGAGCCCGCGGCCGAUUAGCUAGUUGGUAGGGUAAAGGCCUACCAAGGCAGAGAUCGGUAGCCGGCCUGAGAGGGCACACGGCCACACUGGCACUGAAACACGGGCCAGACUCCUACGGGAGGCAGCAGUGGGGAAUCUUGCACAAUGGGGGCAACCCUGAUGCAGCGACGCCGCGUGAGCGAUGAAGCCCUUCGGGGUGUAAAGCUCUUUCGUCAGGGAAGAUGAUGACGGUACCUGGAGAAGCAGCUGCGGCUAACUACGUGCCAGCAGCCGCGGUAAUACGUAGGCAGCGAGCGUUGUUCGGAGUUACUGGGCGUAAAGGGUGUGUAGGCGGUUCUUUAAGUUUGGUGUGAAAUCUCCCGGCUCAACCGGGAGGGUGCGCCGAAUACUGAGGGACUAGAGUGCGGGAGAGGAAAGUGGAAUUCCUGGUGUAGCGGUGAAAUGCGUAGAUAUCAGGAGGAACACCGGUGGUGUAGACGGCUUUCUGGACCGUAACUGACGCUGAGACACGAAAGCGUGGGUAGCAAACAGGAUUAGAUACCCUGGUAGUCCACGCCCUAAACGAUGCAUAUUUGGUGUGGGUCAUUCAGUUGAUCCGUGCCGGAGCUAACGCGUUAAAUAUGCCGCCUGGGGAGUACAGUCGCAAGGCUGAAACUCAAAGGAAUUGACGGGGGCCCGCACAAGCGGUGGAGCAUGUGGUUCA